AUGCAAGUCGGGGGAAUCCCAGCAAUGGGGGAACCGGCGUAAGGGGCAGUAAUGUGUGGGUACCUACCUUUGGGUUCGGGAUAGCCAUCAGAGAUGGUGGGUAAUACCGGAUGAUGUCGUGAGACCAAAGAUUUAUCGCCCGAAGAGGGGCCCACAUGAUAUUAGCUAGUUGGUGAGGUAAUGGCUCACCAAGGCGAAGAUGUCUAGCGGGUGUGAGAGCACGACCCGCGCCACUCGCACUGAGACACUGGCGAGACACCUACGGGUGGCUGCAGUCGAGGAUCUUCGGCAAUGAGCGCAAGCUUGACCGAGCGACGCCGCGUGAGCGAUGAAGGCCUUCGGGUUGUAAAGCUCUUUAGUGGGGGAGAAAAGCCCGCAAGGGUGUGAUCUAUCCCAAAAAUAAGCACGGGCUAAGUUCGUGCCAGCAGCCGCGGUAAGACGAACCGUGCGAACGUUGUUCGGAAUCACUGGGCUUAAAGGGCGCGUAGGCGGGCUGUCAAGUCUGGGGUGAAAU
rnacentral:rRNA from 1 species